GAAUUAGAACUUUUAACCUAGCCGCAUUCCAUUUUGAAUUCACGGCAUCAGUUUAUUUUUUGAGAGAGAGUGAGAGAGAGAGGCAGCCGAGAAAGAGCAUCGGGUAAAUUUUUGAGAAAGAGGAGAGCAUUCCAAACCGAAGGUAAAUUGGAAUGAUUUUUUUUUUUUUUUGCUUUGUUUUCUUGUUUGUCCAUGUUUGAAUGAGAAUCAUUUUUUUUGAACUUGAAGGAGAGCAUUCACGAUUUUUUCAACGUCCGAAGGCAUACACCAUGGCUUCUUCUUCAAAUCAAGUAAGUAUCCUAUUUCGUUGAUUUUAAAUUCGUGAAUUGGGUUCGUGAAUUAUUUUGGUGAAAUUGUUUAAUUCGAAUUACUUGUGUUCGUGAAUUGGGUUCGUGAAUUGGGUAGUUAUUUUGUUGUAGUCAUUUUGGUUGUAGUUAUUUUGUUGUAGUCAUUUUGUUUAAUUAUUGGGAUGGAAUUUACUUAUGUUGGGACGAAAAUAAUUAAUUAUUGGUUGUAUAUUCAUUUUGGUUGUAGUCAUUAUGUUUAAUUAUUUUGUUGGGACGAAAAUAAUUAAUUAUUUUCGUGAAUUACUUAUGUUAUUUUGUUGUAGUCAUUUUGGUUGAAUUAGUUAUGUUAUUUGUGAAUUAGUUUGUAUAUAAAUUGAUUUAGUUUAAUUUUAAAAUCAUUUCAAUAAUUUAAAUAAAAUACACAACCAAAGAAUUGAAUUGGGUAGUGCAUAAAUUGAAACUAACGAGAAGAUCCUCUACAUGUACAUAAUUAUUUUCGUGAAUUAUUAAUAAAUUGUUUAAUUCUAUU
rnacentral:lncRNA from 1 species